UACGUAGGAGGCGAGCGUUGUCCGGAAUCACUGGGCGUAAAGCGCGUGUAGGCGGGAAGGCAAGUCUGCUGUGAAAGCGCCUGGCUUAACCGGGCGAGGUCGGCGGAAACUGCUUACCUGGAGGACGGUAGAGGGGGGUGGAAUUCCCGGUGUAGUGGUGAAAUGCGCAGAUAUCAGGAAGAACACCCGUGGCUAAGGCGGCUCUCUAGUACGGUACUGACGCUGAGACGCGAAAGCGUGGGGAGCGAACAGG
rnacentral:rRNA from 1 species